rnacentral:lncRNA from 1 species
CAGAUAUCAAGCCAGGACCGAAGCACUCAUCUGCAGCUGCUGAUUUCCUAUUCUUGGUGGUCCCAAGGGCCAGCUUGUCUAUCAAAUCAUAGGGGUGUGAAUUUAAAAAAUGUAGCUUCAUCACCCAACCCUGCUCCAACCCAAUCCCUCCAAAGUGGACAAUUACCUGGUGGACAGAAGUCAAACUGAC